rnacentral:lncRNA from 1 species
CCUCUGCUUGAUAAGCACAUUGAUUCAAAGUUAGAUACUUCAGGUAAAGUUUACAAAAAUAGUCAGGGGGUCUAGGGGAAUCAAUCAAUAGAACUAAGCUUAUUUAUACAAUGGCAUGCAAUAAGAAUUACUUUAUUACGCAAUGGUAUAAAAUGCCUGUUUGAAUUGGUUCAAUGCCCAGCAUAAAAUUCUCAAUGCAAGCAGAUUAUUUCAGAAACACUAGUGUCAUUAUCAUCCCCUUACCAGAGAGUAUUUGAUUUAACUUGCACAGCAUUCGAUAAAUUGAGACCUUUCAUUAAAUUGCUAAAAUUAACAAUGCAAUCAUCCUUGAUCUCCAAUCAAUUUCCUCAAAGAUAUUCUGUGACUGCAUUGACAAUCAAUAUUCACAACCCAAUAGCAUGAACCCAUAGCUUAAUUUCAACCCCAAACUAAUUGAAGUCAAUCAUGCAAGUCUGCCCCUUUAUUUGGCUCCACUUAUGGUAACCUAUGUCAUUUUUGCUUCUCCGACUACUACCACCCAAUCACAUGAGGAAGCUAAUGAUCAGACAUGAAAAACCAUCAGCAUUUCUUUAAAUCAAUCAAAUAAUCCUCAACUUACCCUCAGUGGGUGCCUCUUCCAUCAUCUUAAGAUACAUUCAUUUCUAAUCUAUAUUUUCAUAAUCCGAACUGCUAGCUUAACAUUCUUACUUUUCAAAUCAGUUCUGUUGAAUCCCACGUCGGUUGUGGAAAGGGGUAAUGUGCCCCUUAUAUGGGCUAUAGGCACUCCUCCCCUUGAGCUAGCUUUUGGGGUGAGUUAGGCCUGACCCAAAUUUAACAUGGUAUUAGAGCCUCCCCAUCUGAUGUUGGGCGCCCCAUAAAUGUGUCACGCACCAGUAAAAAUUCUGGACGUGAGGGGGUGUGUUGAAUUCCACAUCGGUUGUGGAAAGGGGUAUCGUGCCCCUUAUAUAGGCCAUAGGCACUCCUCCCCCCUUGAGCUAUCUUUUGGGUUGAGUUAGGCCUGGCCUAAAUUUAACAAGUUCAUUGCCAGCUUUUGCCUCUAAGAGUACCUCCUCUAGUUACAGGUUUAUAUUACCCUUCAGCCGAUGUCUCUCCAGCAAAAUAUACUGAAUCACCAAAUAAUUCAAUAUCAAGUAUGACAAACGAUAUGAACCAGACGAUUAUAAGGGGUUUUGACCCUUUGAUGGUCUUUAAGAAACUUUAAUGCCAAAUGUGUUGCAUCAAUACAUAUUUAAGAAAAGAUGGUGGGUUAAAAAAGCAACAGCCUAAUUGCUAUUCUAAUUCACAACUGGCUAAUAAACAAAAUAAAGGAGCCAAUAAUGAAAAAUAAUCAAGACAUUUGCUAACAUGUCAGUGCCAACAAGAUGGUAGCGAGCCAUGGUCACGUCCAGUAGAUAGACGUGAAUAUAACUCAUGUCUAGUGCCUUCGUUGCUGUCAUAAGUGACUGGAAAAUUAGCCUUGUACGCAAGGAAUCUUUGCAUGUGAUUUUGACAUGGUCGUAAAUUAAAUUAUCAUAAGCUAUUUGAAACCCACCAGUCACCUAUUACACAAAGCUGAAUUUGAUCCCAAAAAAUAUGUAGAACUGAAAAGUUUGGGUUUUCACCCCCACUCUCCCUUCACAGUAGGUUUGCCCUUCAAAUUUUGUCAAUUUUUUAUAUGUAGUGCAAAAAAAAAUGUUUUUAUGAAAUAUUGCACUUCAGUUUAAUAUGCUAAUUUGUGUAAUUAUGAAUUUAAAUCAUUAUUAUUACAAAAAGAAUUUUUUUUUUAAAUAUUCCUUAUUUUAAUUAUAAAAGUUUUAUGUAAUUCAUUAAUUAUAAUUAUUAAUAAUUUCUUUACAUUUUUUAAUAAAAUCUAAUUUCCUACAAUAAAUUACAUUAACUAUUAUUAGUUUGGUGGAAAAAAUACAUGUUAAUUUUUUUAUAUUUUAUAUAAAAAAUUAAUAUUCAAGUAUGACAAAUAUUUUAUUUUAUUUUACUGUACCUACAAUCCCACAAUAACAUAAUUUCUCAAUAACUCAACUUUUUUUUAAAAAAAUAUCCAGGAAACAACUUACAAAAUCUAUCAUUACCUGCAAUUUCAUUCCCAAUAAAUUUUGGCUCAGAACACUACAAAAUUUAACACAAUUAUGUCCAUUACAUUUAUCACAUCAUAUCUACAUAGACUCAAAUUAAAAAAUAAUAUAAACUUAGUAACAUUUAGCACGAUAAAAACUUUUUAUAAAGAUCAUUAAAAAAAAUCAAAUCAACCUUACAAAACAAAUAAAUUAUUUCAAUUGCUAUUAGUUAUUUUUAAACCAACAAGACAAUAUCAAAUAACCAACAAACUUCCAAAUUAAAUUAUCCAAUAUAUAAAAAUUAAGUUUUUUUUUCCCAAUUACCACAUGAAAAGACAAGUGAAUGUGAGUUAGAAUAGCAAUAUGAAGGUGCAAGUAAGGUCUAGGAAGGCGUAUCUUUAUUACACCCUUGGCAAGUACUUCAAUUGACCAAAACAAAAAACUUGGACUUGAAAUUUGCCAAUCUACUAGAUUCCAAUAUUGAUAAUUAAGAAAUUCUUCAAACUUAGAAUUACUGGUUACAACUAGUCAUUUUUAAUCUCUCUUCCCAUGCAUUAUUUUCAAUAUUCUCUUUCUAUCUUUCAUCCUAACUGCUUCUUGGUUUCUUGAUUAUCUAAAAUUGCAUUUUCCUUUCUUAAAUUUAUUUUUUGUACCUCACUCCAUUCAAAUGCAUGCCUGCACCUUGCACGUUCUGCCUUAGCCCCACAACCACUUUGCACCUUAGUGCUCCUUUGCACCUUACUGCUCCUUGAGCCUUUAAUAACUAUGUUCAUGACCAUGUCAGAGUUACAUGCAAAAAUCCCUUUCAUGCCAAGCUAAUUUUCUAGUCACUUUUUAUGAUAAUUACUAAAGCACUAAACUUGAGCUAUAUUCACGUCUCUUUGUUGGACGUGCCAUGACUCACGACCACAGACCAUCUUGUUGUCACUAACAUACAAGCAAAUGCUUGUGAUUAUUUCCCUGAUUAGCUAUUUUAUUUAUA